rnacentral:rRNA from 1 species
UAGCAGCCGCGGUAAUACGGAGGGUGCGAGCGUUAAUCGGAAUUACUGGGCGUAAAGCGCAUGCAGGCGGUUGCGUAAGCCAGAUGUGAAAGCCCGGGGCUUAACCUCGGAAUAGCAUUUGGAACUGCGUAACUAGAGUCUUGUAGAGGGGGGUAGAAUUUCAGGUGUAGCGGUGAAACGCGUAGAGAUCUGAAGGAAUACCAGUGGCGAAGGCGGCCCCCUGGACAAAGACUGACGCUCAGAUGCGAAAGCGUGGGUAGCAAACAGGAUUAGAUACCCUGGUAGUCCACGCCGUAAACGAUGUCAACUAGCUGCUUGUGUCUUUAAGACGUGGGUGGCGGAGCUAACGCAUUAAGUUGACCGCCUGGGGAGUACGGCCGCAAGGUUAAAACUCAAAUGAAUUGACGGGGGCCCGCACAAGCGGUGGAGCAUGUGGUUUAAUUCGAUGCAACGCGAAGAACCUUACCUACUCUUGACAUCUACAGAAGCUAGAAGAGAUUUUAGUGUGCCUUCGGGAACUGUAAGACAGGUGCUGCAUGGCUGUCGUCAGCUCGUGUUGUGAAAUGUUGGGUUAAGUCCCGCAACGAGCGCAACCCUUGUCCUUAUUUGCCAGCACUUUGGGUGGGAACUUUAAGGAGACUGCCGGUGAUAAACCGGAGGAAGGUGGGGACGACGUCAAGUCAUCAUGGCCCUUGCGAGUAGGGCUACACACGUGCUACAAUGGGCGGUACAGAGUGCUGCGAGCUCGCGAGAGUUAGCGAAUCACUUAAAGCCGUUCGUAGUCCGGAUUGGAGUCUGCAACUCGACUCCAUGAAGUCGGAAUCGCUAGUAAUCGCAAAUCAGAAUGUUGCGGUGAAUACGUUCCCGGGCCUUGUACACACCGCCCGUCACACCAUGGGAGUGGGUUGCUCCAGAAGUGGUUAGUCUAACCUUCGGGGGGACGAUCACCACGGAGUGAUUCAUGACUGGGGUGAAGUCGUAACAAGGUAGCCGUA